AAGAAACACAAAGAAAAACUACAUCAAACACUCUCUUAAAUAAGAAACUCCAUUCAUGUCGUGAGCAAGCCAUUGCAGAAUACCAUCCGGAGGCCGAAGUAGAUCAUGAACACUAACAGCUAGAGUAGACGCAUAUGUAGCCAACCAAUCUGUACUAAAUUUAGCCUGAUGUCGAAAGACCUGCCGAACCUGCGCAUUCCAAUUCCCUCAAAGCAAACACUUGACCCAGGAAACUGAGUAAAGUCUUAAAUUUGAAUUUCAAUAAGAGUCGAUUAUAUUUUUAAAAGAAAAAUCUUGAGCCUUUAUACCGUUGA
rnacentral:misc_RNA from 1 species